rnacentral:lncRNA from 1 species
AGGGCUGGGCAAAUAAACCGAACCCGAAAACCCGAACCGAAUCCGAUCCGAUAAAAAUGAAUCCGAACCGAUCCGAACCCGACGUAAAUACCGAAUGGGUCUUGUUUUGUGGUAUUUCGGGUUAUGGGUAUUAUCCGAACCGAACCCGAAUCUAAAUGGAUAUCCGAUAGAACCCGAAACAUUCAAAACCUCGAAAAGAUCUUGUACCAAACAUGAUCUCAAUUC